CUGAUCCGUAGUAGAGAUGUUAUCAUCCUUGUUGGGUCUUGGUCUCCCAAGGGCGCCGUAGCACAGUGAAAUAAGGAUGAAAGUAUGAACGUGCAGCAUGGUGGCAGUCAGCUUACAGAACCUGCACUGAGUUGUGCCAUUUACAGCAACAUCUUUUAUAGAGGAAGCAACCCAGCGGCUCCCAGCAGGCAGUGUGGCUGUGGACCAAGAGCCCCGGCGGCUGGAAGAGACGCAGCAUCCCGCUGACGAGGCAACGUACGGCACAUGUGUCCAACACGGAUCGCAUGGCGGCCCAUGACAAGAAUGUAUAGUAUAGUUUCAUCUUCAUCGAAAUGGGCAUCACCCCCUAUUCCACCACCGGGGGCAUACGCAUGAGCUAGCACACCAUUGGGACCAUCAAACGGCGACUGAUCACCCCAAUGAAGAAACAGGAUGAAAGUUGAGACUUUUGACCUAUUUUCUGCCUUGGACACACCCAGCUCUGACUCUGGCCCUGCCAUGUAGAACUCACCUAUAGGUUAGGGCAGAUCGUGGCCAUGUGGGUCUUCCAGGGAAUGCUCUGAACUCUGACACAUCUGGCAUCCCACAUCUGGGGGCUUUCAUCAUAGUCAUAGUCUCUGAGUGGAGAUGAUAUGAUCCUUAUGGGGUCUUGGUCUGCCAAGGGUGCCAUAGCACAAUGAAAUAAGGAUGAAAGUAUGAACGUGCAGCAUUGUGGCAAUCAGCUUAUGGAACCUGCACUGAGUUGUGCCAUUUAUAGCAACAUCUUUUGUAGAGGAAGGCCGACUUAUGCAGCGCUGCACGCCAUAAUGUGGCUGUUCAACUGGUGAUAAAGUUGCAGCUAAAAGCAACAAAGUAUUUGAAACGAGGCCGAGCCGUGGAAGCUGACGAAUCAUGCAAUAACAGCACAGAGUCACACGCAUGCGGGUGCGUUCCAGCCAAAGACGAGGCUUGGAACGCAAAGGAAACACGCCUGCGUGAGCGGCUAGGACCCGCUAUAAAAAUGGACACACAGGGACACUCUAUACAACGUCUCUGAAGAAGCCGCUGACGUGUUUGGAGGCGGAGAAACGCGUAAGUCGUCAUUCUUGAUAUCCAGUACUGGCAUCCGACACUCGGCAAGUCUAUCCCCUGCAAGCCCUCUGUUUUGGACCCUCCGGAUAUGGCACCAAUAAUGUGUUGAAGACACCAGGAGUCGGGAGUCCCCGAAACUGCCCCCUGCUGGGAGCUGGGCAUUACGUAAAAGGUGAUACAAAAUACUGAUGUGCCUCAUUGUCUAAAUCAUCUCUGAUUAAAAAUCCUGUCCAAGUUGUUUCCAUCAUACUAACAAUGUUACCAUCUUUAACUGGACAAGGAAUCAUCAAUUUCAGUGCGCUGAAAAAAGCCACCAGCACAGCUGUUUUAAUUGCAUGAAGUCUUUUGUCAUCUUAGACUAACAUACCAUCUGUGCAUGAUUACUAAUCAGCUAUACUAAACAACUAAGCUGGAAUUGCUUUAUAUGUAGUGUUUUAAGUGUAACUAUUGCCGGUACUGAUACACAUAUUAUAUUUAUUUAAUUUU